GUGGGCAGAGCUACCUGGUGAAGGGACCCAGGGCCUGAGUCUGGCCCAGGGGCGACAGAGACACUUGAAAGAGGCUCACAGGCCCUCGCAGGACCAGGGGACAGGCAGUCAUGAAGUCGAAGACAGGAGGAAAAGCCUGCUGAUGGGGCAUGGAAGUGGAGGUCACCUCUGUGAUAGGGCUAUGGUGAUACCAGAAGGGACUUCUUUCCCUCAGGACACUUGGAGCUGCGUAACUUACUCUUCAGGAUAGCCUUUGCAAGAUCCUUAAAAGUCUACACCCCUCUUCUGCAACCUCUUCAGGGAUGGGAACCUCAUUACCUCAUGAGACAGCUCAUUCCAUUGUUGAAUGACCUAAGCGGUAAGGAAGUGGUCAGCUCAAACCGGGUUGAAUCUCUCUGUCUGACAGGUCCACCCAUUAGUGCUGGUUCAGAGAGCAUGUCUGCCCCCUCUUUCCCCACGUCAAGCCUUUCAUGUUGUCUCAAGAUGGCGAUCGUGGUCCCCCUAGGUUUUCUCCUCUCUAGGUUAAAUAUCCUAGUUUUCCUACUCUACUUCGUGUGACGUGGCAUCUGAGUUUUAUCAUUUAGUAAUCCCCAGGUUGUUAUGACCAGUGCCCCCAGUGAAAAUUAUGUAGUCUAACUUAUGCAAGUCUGUGGGAUAGAUGUUUGCUGAAUUAAACUGAUUAUUUGAUCCUGUGAUCUAGAAAUUAUCCUUCUAUUUAUGUAACCAAAGAGUUGUUUUUGUUGUUGUUUUUACUGUUGUUUUUAAGGUGU